GCCUGGCAGGGAAAUGACAGAUGAGGAACGUGAAAACUUCAUUUUCCAUUAGAUGAAGGGACUGAUUUUCUACAUUUUCCAGCAGAUCAUUAGGCUGUGAGGAGUUUGCCUCAAAUUCUAAUUCUACUACUUCUGCUGGGGGGUGGAGUUUAUAGUACCCUCUAGGGGGUGGAGCUAAACUUUUAAAAGGAGCUUCAGGAGACUUGGAAUUUUCUUUUGUUUCCUGUUCUCUAGUGGGUUUUACCUCUGCUGCUCUGCUGACCCUAGGAACGGGCCUUUGUUUCCACAUGGGAAAGAAGAAGCAGGAAGUUUGAAGAAAAGUGGACCCAAGUGGAGCUCUGGUUAUUUACCAAACUGAGCAGCACACAUUCUUUGUGACUGGUAA